AGGGAUGAAACAUUUCGAAAUACGAAAGGAGAUAAUAUUUUCGUCAUGUGGAUCGCCGUGUGACGAUGACAGGAAGUACUAACACAGUCACAUGAUAGCAAAUUACAUCUCAUGCUGUUGUUUACAUCGAAAGAGGAUAUCGCUCUAGAUAUAAAUAGAUAAAAAAAGGAAAGAAAAACACAACAAAAGAAUGAGUUAUCAAGCACCUGCCGGAUCAUACCAACAAAAUCCGCCACCUUAUGGAAUGAACUCUCCUCCACCGGCCGGGGCAUACUCUGGUCCUCCUGCGGGGGCUUAUCAACCGGCGGGCGCUUAUCAACCAGCGGGGGGAUAUGCUCCACAACCCGCGGGUGCCUAUCAACCUUAUCAACAGCAACCCACCACGGUAUAUGUUUACGAGGGAAAAAGUAAAGAACAGCGAGACCAGGAGAUGGCGGAGGAUUGUUGUCUGUUGGCGUGCUGUUGGACAUUGUUGUGUUGUUGUCUCCUGAACAACUAAGUUGUGUUGUUGUUUCCUGAACGACUAAGAUGUGCCUUCUGUAAUUUCCAUUUACACCCGGGAAUCAGACAAAAGAUACUCUACAAACUAGAAAGACAUGUCUAUUUAGUGAGGCGUGUUUUAUCGUGGAUGGAGAAUUUCUCUAAGACAUUCCUAGCUUUGAGUUCUAUGAUAUUUAGUCCUAUUAUCAAAAGUCUCUAGUAUUCAAAAUACAGUUAGGUUUGGCCAUUUGACAAUUAUCAGUGUUAAUUCAUGUCACCCUGAAAAACGUGUGGAACAAUUUAGUUUGUCCACAAUAUCAUAACGUUUGUACUUUCGUUUUUCCCCUUCUUUUAAUUUGCAAUCGUUGUUGUGUUUUGUUGAUGUGCUCUAAAACGAGUUUGUGUCGGUCAUUUAUGCAAGAUGACAGUGUCAUGAAGAUUCCUAAUGCUAUUAUCAGCUUAUGGAUAUAUAAUAUUUCUCAAAAGCUUUGAAAGGUUACUUCAUUACUUCCUAAUUGGCAUACAACUAUGGUGUCUGUCAAUCUACAUCCUGUAGUAGAGUUGCCUCGCUUUAGCUAGUGGACGCUUGCUUAUCAUGUACCAUGAAAGGGGAUGAUGAUUAACUCCAUAGUAGGCGUUGGCGCGAUACUUACGGUUGUAUGUCAAAAUUUGUAGCCCGGUGGCGUCUUACAUGAAAGAAAAAUUAUGCUUAUGAUGAAGCUGUAUUUGUGGUUAGACGUCGUUUGAAUUCAGGGUAAAUAGUUGAUUUGAUUGAUUUUAUGUUCUUAAAAGUCCCUCUCGAGAAUUUUUCACUCACAUGGAGACGUCACCAUUGCCGGUGAAGGGCUGCAAAAUUUAGGCCUAUGCUCGUCGCUUACGGUCUUUGAGCAGGAAGGGAUCUUUAUCGUGCCAUACCUGCUGUAAAGACAUCGUUUUCAAGUUUAUACUGGUAAUGACUUGAGCGCUGUCUAGAAAGAUCGACCGAGGGUUACCAAUGAUUAAACAGACAAGAACAUGUCACUGUACUUUGCAAGGGACAUAAAUACCGUGACCCAAUCAAUGUCAUAGCGGGCUCAGUACGCAUGUUUGAGGGUCGUGGUUCUUCACUUGUAUACCAAUUCCGUUUGAUUUCUUGUUUUGAAAUUUAGCCCAUUUUGUGCUCCUUACAGGCUAAGAAUCAUUAAACUGUAGUGUCAGACAGUUGAACAUGUGCACUAUGACUGCAGACAGCAUUGUUCUGUCGCUGAGUAUGACUGGAUGUGGUGUAGAUAACUUUACAAUUCUUCCUGGUCCACAUUGCAAUAUUUCACCAACACUUACAGGAUUUCAUUUGACUCUUCAAUCUUUGCAAAACAUCCAAUCUGGGCAAAUUCUUGAUAUCACAAUAAAUCUAAUUGAUCUUUUCUGCUUUUUUUUAAAAUCAUGAUUUAAGUAAUCUAGAUUAAGUUCUGGGGAAUGAUAACAUCAACUAGACCUACAGUAUACAUGUACUUCAUCUAAUUUGACUUCAACUUAUUACGGAACAUCAGAACUAUUAUUUCGUCUUCGAUUCCGUCGCGGUUUUAAUAUUCAGUAUGACCAACUAGAGCUCGUUUUCUGCGUUAACUUGGGCAACAUUUCAUUAAAUAAGCACACUGCAUAUAUAAGAUAUAUUAAGCGUCGUUUUUGAGGGGGGGGGGGGGGGAGAGAUAAAAGUUGACUCCUUCAUAAGAAAAGUAGUUCUACCCAAAAUUGGGGGGGGGGGGGGGUCUUUAAUAUAUUCAGUACAUCAAUUCAAUUCAUCGGUCCAACCUUGCAUUUACACUACCAUUCAUCACUACUAUAAAAAGUGACCAGCUAAUGAAUUAAUGUUUUAAACAAUGCCAUGUAAUUGAUAUAACAUUGGGAAAGGUCCGUUAUCGCCUUUAGGUGGAACAGUGUUUCCCGUAUCCACAUAACAGAAAAAAUACCUAAAUCAAAUUCUUUGUGACCAAACACAUCUGAUUAAUCAAAACUAAAGACAUUGUCUCCUACUAGGAAUUUGAUCUGGCCUAAAAACCAGAAUUGGUGUAAAGGUCAUUUGGGUGACUGGGUACAUUUUCUUCAAUGACGUAAAUAUGAUUUUUACCACUCUUGCUUGGGUCGCCUGGAGAGUAUCUGUUUAUGAUUCAAAUUCCACAAACUCAUCAAUUUCAUUGGCUAAACCUACUGUCCGAUAUUUUGUGAGCUUGAUAUUUUAAUUCAUUAUGAUUUAUGAAAGCCAGACUUUGAGAAAAUUCUUGUAAAGUUCUUGGUAAAAAUUAUUUCUACCAAAUUUGGUAUAAAUAUAAUAUACUAUCCAUACGAAAAGAUAUUCUGAAUGUAUAAUAACGAUGAAUAAAUAUAUUAAUAAUAAUUAUUUUUCUCUAUUAUCCAGAACAGCUUUUCUUUGCCUUUGCGUAUCUCUGAGGUUGACUUUUGCAUGAUGUUUAAGCAAAAUGCCCCAGAGAAGCAACAUGACAUCUUCAAUCGUAGCCCCAAUACCUCCCCUCUCUGAUUUAUCUCAAUAGGGUCAAGUCUAACACGGUUCAUCUGAGCUCACGACCAACACCGUAGAUACAGUUUCUGAAAUUUUAGGUUUACCAUCUGGCCAGAAAUAGUGACUUAUACUGUUUUAUCGACAAUAUGAAAUAAAAGUCACAGGUGCUUGGGUUCAGGACCCCCCCCCCCCCCCCCCCCCCUCCAAAUAAGCUACAUGAGUUGAUUAAUUAUUUUUUUGUUAAAAAUAUUUCUAAUACAUGCCAACAACGUCGUGCAUACCCCUAAAGUCCAAAAUAAUUCAAAAUAAGCCCUUCUAGAAAAAUACCCUCACUGGUUAUUAUAUUGAUCAGGUAAACGGAGUUAUCCGUAUAUGCAACAUGUCUUUUAUGUCUAAUAUACCUUUUAAUUAUUUCGGAAGACAUUUAAGAUUGUAUAGAGUCAAUAUGUUGAUGUUUCACAUGUUUACCUUUCACUGUUCUAUGGAAUUCAUCAUACCCGCCAUUUUGCAAGUCUUCUCGAACGUUUUGUUUUCUACAAUUUCAUUGGCUAAGAGGCUUAAUCCUGUCUUAUCAGAUUGAGCGUUUAUUUUUAGUGUCUUAUUGGGUUUUUGUCCUAUAUAAGGAACUGCACGAGAUCUCUCUGCUAGGAUCAAGAACUUAGGUUCGUGCUUUUCAAAGAACUGUGGGUUCUAUUCUUUUCUUUACAUAGAGUAGGGUUGUUCAACAUGCAGUAAGUAAAAUUAACGUAGAGUUGUUAGAAAACAGUCUAUAGGAGUUAGAUUUUUCUGGAUAAAAUGUUGAUAUUCCUGUAGAGUCGAGGUCUACUUUUUUUAAGGGUAGAAUUAGAUAUCCCUUACCUUAGUAUUUUACAGAGUUAGUAGUUUUAUGCUUAGGCUACCUCGGCGUUUGGCCUUCAACUGUAUUACUUUGAGGUGUGAGGGGUCCCGUUGGUGUAGUAACACUGUAUCUUUUGACAGUGUAUGGAAGCGUGUUAGUGUCUUAACUUUACAUUUUUAGAAAAUUAUUUUUCGUAAUUUUGGUCAUUUACUUUGGGCGAAUUUUACAUUCCUCUCUGAUUGUAUCGGUUCAUUUUCAUUGGAAGAAUUAUUUGUUAUCAAAAUCCAUAUUUACCUAUGCUAUAAUAAAUUUAUAAACUUUACAUGUCUUUUCAUUUCAAACAAGGCGUGGAAUAUAAUUUGGAAAUCACAACCGAACCUGGGUACAACACGGAAACAGUGUGUUCCGUAACUUAUGUAGUAUAAUGAGUCCUUCUGACUCAUAGUACUAUUGAUAGUUGAUUUGAUAAAGAAGAUAGAACUUGUGCUUUGCGAGAAGCUAGACUAAUUUCAGUCCCAGAACACACACAGUCUCCCCGUUACACAUGGAAACAAUAAAUUCACGUAGGACCGGUAAUUCAGGUAUUGUCAGUGAGGUUUUAAGUUUCUGAUCGCCGUGUAAUGGAUGCCAUCAUCUUGGGAUAUGAACAGCAAAGAGAAACAAAUUCAUAUUCAAAUAAAAUUGUUCUGCCUUUAGACGAAUUUAUUUCAAACUACAAAGGACUAUUUUGUACUCGCGACGGAACACCAUAUUUGAACCGUCUGGCGUUAGGAAGGAUAACUCGCUUUAUACAGAAAUCAAAACGCAAGAGUUAUCUCACUUUUUAACACUUCCACGAAAUGAAUCUGAAAAAAUAAAUUUUAAAAAAGUGCAAUCCACGAAAAUUGAAAUUGGCUUUACGAACUUAUAUCAUUCCAUAAUAACGUAAAUGUUUUGAGCUGAAAAUUUUCAUAAUUCACUGUAAACUUGUGAAUCGUUCGCUGAUGAUGACAGGAAGUACAGGCAUCAGAUUACACUGUGUUUGCAUUGGAGGGAGAUACCAAUCUGACGAAAGGGGGAGGAAGAAUACAACAAAAGAAUGAAUCAAGCACCAGCCGAAUCAUACAUAGAGAAUCCGCCACCUUAUGAAAUAAACCCUCAUUCAUCGACCUUGACAAAUUCAGGACUUUUCGCUGGGGUAUAUCCACCAACGACGGUUUAUCCACCAGUGGUGAUUGAUCAACCAACGGGAGGAUGUGUUCUACAGCAACCCUUAGCUUGGGCAAAUGGAUCUUUUCAGCACGCACCCACUAUUAUUUAUGCCCACGAGGGUCAAAACAGAGAAAAACGAGAUGAGGAUGAUGAUGAUGAUGAUGAGGAGGAGGAUGACUGUAGUUUGCUUUGGGACAUUUGCUUUGGUUCCACGGACAACGUUGACGAACAUGAUUUUAUUGUUCCCUGAACAACUACAAGAUAAUUAAGAUAUAACUGAUUGUAAUUACCAUUUACAUUCACGAAAUAGACAAAGGAGACCAAACAAACUGUAAUAGUAUUAUAAUUUGUAUUGAUAGUUUAUGUCAUUCUGAAAGAUGUGUUCAGGAAUUCUUAAAAUGUCAUCAAUACUUUUAA